GGGGCAGAGGGGAUGGAUUGGCUACCCUGACCAUGCUGACAUGAAUGGACAACAGACAGAAGGCCAAAACGACAGCCCCAUCUGUCUAUCCGCUGGCCCCGGCCUGUACGACGUCUGGAUCCACGGUGACCCUGGGAUGCCUGGUCAAGGGCUACUUCCCUGAGCCAGCCACCGUGACCUGGAACUCUGGAGCCCUGACCAGCGGCGUGCACACCUUCCCAUCUCUCCUGCAGUCUGGGCUCUACACCCUCAGCAGCUCCGUGACUGUACCUUCCAGCACCUGGCCCAGCCAGACCGUCACCUGCAACGUAGCCCACCCGGCCAGCAGCACCAAGGUGGACAAGACAGUUGUGCCCAGAGACCCCCAUACAGACAAAGAUCCAUGUCCUACCUGUCCAAAGUGUCCAGCUCCUGACCUCUCCGGUGGACCAUCUGUCUUCAUCUUCCCCCCAAAGCCCAAGGAUGUACUCAUGAUGACCCUGACCCCCAAGAUCACCUGUGUGGUGGUGGACGUGAGCGAGGAUGAGCGAGACGUCCGGUUCAACUGGUUUGUGGGCAACGUGGAAGUACACAACGCUCAGACGCAGACCCAUGAGGAACAGUACAACAGCACCUUCCGUGUGGUCAGUACCCUCCCCAUCAAGCACCAGGACUGGAUGUCGGGCAAGGAGUUCAAAUGCAAAGUCAACAACAAAGCGCUCCCAAGCCCCAUCGUGAAAACCAUCUCCAAAAAGAAAGGUCAAGUCCGAGAACCCCAGGUUUAUACCCUUCCUCCACCAAAGGAGCAGAUGACCAGGAACCAGCUCAGUAUCACCUGCAUGAUCAAUGACUUCUACCCUGAGGACAUUGCUGUGGAGUGGGAGAAAAAUGGGCAAGAAGAGAGGAACUAUAAGAACACCCUACUUGUCCAGGAAUCAGAAGAGUCCUACUUCAUGUACAGCAAGCUCAAUGUGGAAAAGGCCAGCUGGGAACAAGGCGACAUAUACUCCUGCACUGUGAUACACGAGGCUCUCCACAAUCACCGCACGAAGAAGGACAUCUCCCGGGUUCCGGAGGUGGAACUGGGCGACACCUGUGCUGAGGCCCAGGACGGGGAGCUGGACGGGCUCUGGACGACCAUCACCAUCUUCAUCACCCUCUUCCUGCUCAGCGUGUGCUACAGCGCCACCAUCACACUCUACAAGGUGAAAUGGAUCUUCUCCUCAGUGGUGGAGCUGAAGCAGACAAUGUCCCCUGACUACAGGAACAUGAUUGGACAGGGGGCCUAG